AUAACACGGGCCCGGGGAACCGACGCUGGAGAAGGGGGAUUACCCGGAGGCCGGAGGGGGGUGCUCGCCUGCCCCCUCCCCGUGGGUCGCGGGACCUACAAGCCCUCGCCCCCCAGCACCCCAAAACCAGAGCGACUGAGCGAAUUUGGCGCGGCUAGCGGAACUGUGAAGAGGCUGCUGCGCUUCUCUGUCCGCCACACUUCAGGUCACAGCCGCUCCGGAGCCGCGGCACAACCGCCUCCCUCCCCACCCAGCUCCCGGGCCUUGUCACAGACCCCGGCAGCUCGCUCCGCCCCACCGCGCCUCACAACAUCUCCCGCUGCAAAUUGUCCAAUCGGGAGACACGAUGGGAGAACGCGAGCCAAUCAGGGACUGGUUAGUCAGGCUUCCCUCCGCCCUCUUCCCCGCCCCCAGGUGAAGGCCACCGCCCCCUCGGCCUCCCCUUCCCACCCCGCCCGGCUCCUGGGAGGUGGCUCCCCGGCUCCGAACCUCGCGGGUCUGGAGGGGAGUUGCUCGCAGUCGGAGGCAGCGUUUGUCACCUUGUCACCCUCAUCCUCGGCCCCUUCCCAUACACACUCCUCUCUCCUUUUCAGUGCUCCUGCUGGUGCUGUUGAGGGUCAUUUUAUCCUCACUGCGGCGGGGGACUGCCAGCUAUUGUGUCUGAUCAGCUGCCACCGCCGUCCAGAGGGAAAAAAAAGAGGAACAAAACCUAGAAGCUAUGGAGUCCGCUUACCUUUUCCUUCUUUCUUGCUACUCUCCCCUGUAGACUUAGAGUCUUCCCCCGCCCGCCCACCACCUGAGGUCCUGUUUCUUUGUGGGGGACAGGGGAGCGGGGACAUAAAGCACGCCCUGCAGCUGGGGCACCUGCGCCUUCGUUUUUACAUCUUCCUUAAAGUGGAUGGUGCCAAACCAAAUCGACAGCUAAAUCCUCCGCUUCAAUUCGAGGAAAGACGUUGACGAGAUCAUUUUUAGAUGGCCACGAAAUUUGCAUGUUCUUGACAGCCCGUCACCAAACAAGUCAGCUAACAAUCAAGAAAAGAAAAAUAGAAUAAAAUACAAGGAGGGAUUGCCAGUCAGAUGGUAAUUUACUAAAUAGCCCACUGGCUGUAGCAGUAUCCAGUGCUAGAUACUAUUGAGUAAAUUAACAAGAAGUGAAUAGAAAUUCAGGGUUCAAGUAGCUCACCGCUUGUGGGUUUAUAGAAUAUGUCCAGAAAGGAAAAACAAUUUACAGCACAAAACAACUCCUUACACAUGCAAAUGUGCAUGCACGGCAUAAACGGAAUACCUAACAGCUAAGGACAUUUGGGUUAAAAUUUUUGCACUAGAAAUUUUUGUAAAUGUCGAUUGUGAAAUUUGCAGUUUGAUAAAGGAGAGUAAAAUGUGGGCCAUGAAAGGAGAAGGAAAAGGAAGGAAAACACAUUCUAAAAAUUAUGGAAAAAUAACAUAACCUAGAGAGGCAAUAUUUCUAUAAGAGGUAAUAAGAUGUAAGGACCAAGAUUACAAUCCAACUCCAUUUACCACAUAACUUAGCGCGAAUUAUUACUUAUGUGUCUAAGUACUAGAGCUAUCAAAUUCAACGCCUCCUGCUAGGUAUUCCUCUAAAAGCUUUACACAACAAGAUAGGUGGGUGGUGAAGGAAGGUUUCAAGCCCAGGGGAUCUGGCUCCAGAGUCCAUUCUUUUAUUCACAAUACUAUACUAGGCUGGGCUCAGUGGCUCACGCCUGUAAUCCCAACACUUCGGGAGGCUGAGGUGGGAGGAUUGCUUGAGUCCAGGAGUUUGAGACCAGCGUGGGCAACAUAGGGAGACCCGUUUGUACAAGCAAAAUGUUAGCUGGGUGUGGUGGCAUGCGCCUGUAGUCCCAGCUGAUUAGGAGGCUGUGAGGCAGGAGGAUCGCUUGAGCCCAGGAGUUCAAGGCUGCAGUGAGCUAUGUCCAAGAGUGGCACUCCAGCCAGGGCAACAGAGCCAGACUGUGUCUCAAAAAAAAAAAAAAAAAAAAAAAAAAAGAUAAAACAACAGUAUACUACCUCUUAAUAUGGGUUUUUAAUAAUAACAGCUAACACUUAACUUACUAUGUGUUAAUUAUUGUGGUCUUUCAGUGCCAAUGUAACUCUACUCCUGGGACAAAUAUAAUCGUGAUGUUCCAAAAUUUGGGAAUGUUUUUAAGAACUGUUAUGAUAAGUUACUCUCUUAGGUGUCUCACGCGUAUUAGGCUAUCUGGAUGGAGAGUGCAAAAGGCACAUAGUUAAAAUUUGAAAAAUUUAACUGGGCUUCCACUGGGCCUCUGAGUUGUAACAGCACCCUCCCUAUCUUGCUGGACUGUUGAAGAGAAUCAAAUGAGAUAUAGAUGUGAAGAAACUUUUAAGGCCAGGUGCAGUGGCUUAUGCCUGUAAUCUCAGCACUUUGGCAGGCCCAGGCAGGAGGACCGCUUGAGCCCAUGAGUUCGACAAGCCUGGGCAACAUAACGGGGUCCUAUCUCUAUUUAAAAAAUUUUGUUAAGUUAGCCAGGUGUGGUGGUCAAUGCCUGCGGUCCCAGCUACUUGGAAGGCUCAGGUGUGAGGAUCGCUUGAGCCCGAGAGAUCAAAGCUGCAGUGAGUCUUGAUCACGCCAGCGCACUCCAGCCAGGGCAACAGAAGACACUUUUAAAAUGUAAAAAAAAAAUUAUUUCAAUUAAAAUAUUACAGACUGAGCAUGGUGGCUUAUGUCUGUAAUCCCAGCUCUUUGGGAGGCCAAGGCGUGCGGAUCACUUAAGGCCGGGAGUUCGAGACCAACCUGGGCAACAUGGUGAAACCCUGUCUCUACUGAAAAUACAAAAAUUAGCCUGGCGUGGUAGCACGAGCCUGGAAUCCCAGCUGCAUGAGAGGCUGAGGCAUGAGAAUCUCUUGAGCCCGGGAGGCAGAGGUUGGAAUGAGCUGAGAUUGCACCACUGCACUCCAGCCGGGAUGACAGAGCAAGGACUCUAUCUCAAAAAAUAAAAUAAAAUAUGAUUAUGAAGCAGAAGUUUGUACUAUUUCCCCAACAGCAACCCUACUGUUUAUAACAUUUUAUUGUUACUGUUUAGGAAUAUAUGAACCCAGUUAAAAAUUAGGUCUAUUCCUUUCUGAAGCCAUGAACAAGAAUAUUUUAAUAUCAGCUCUCAUUUGGACGCUUUUGCUUGUUUGUUUUGUUUGUUUUUGUUGUUUUUGAGACGGCGUCUCACUCUGUCACCAGGCUGGAGUGCAGUGGCACAGUCUCGGCUCACUGCAACCUGUGCCUCCUGGGCUCAAGAGAUUCUGGUGCCUCAGCUUCCUGAAUAGCUGGAACUACAGGCACACGCCACCACACCAGGGUAAUUUUUCUUUCUUUUUCUUUUACCCCCACCCCCGCACCCCACCCCUCCCACCCCGUAGAGACAGGGUUUUGCCACAUUACCCAGACCGAUCUCGAACAACUGACACCUCAACCUCCCAAAGUGCUGGGUUUACAGGCGUGAGCCACCGCGCUUGGUCAUUUGGAUGCUCUCUGACCAGACCAAAAAGUGAGUGUGGCACCCCUAUGCAUCUGGAAAGAGGAAGCCUACAGCUGGUUUUCCUCCAUUCCAAAGGCUAAUCGGCUUAAUUGCUGGAGGGUGCAAGCCUUUGGAAUUCUCUUUAACUGCCCAUGGUGGACAUCUCACUUGUGAACACCUCCACCAGAGGGAGGGCAAGGGAAAGGAAAGGGGGCCAAACUUCAGUCAUGUGGCUAUGUGUUAGUUUCAGUAAGAGAUUUGGUGAAACAAUAGGUUUUGGGGCCAUUGUAACUGAAAGGAGAUUGAAACUAACUGGUUGCUAUCUUGAUAGUUUUCUUUAUCCUCAAAUAUCAUGGAUAAGCAAGAGCUAACAGUAAUUCUAGCGCUGUUUGCUUUGAAAGGCUAUUGUCCUCCUUAGAGUAUAGCUAAUAAAUGUGUGGGUUUCCUAUAAUCAAACUUCUUGGAGUAUCCUUUGAAAUAGCCUCUGAAAUUACCAUAGCUAUAUUAAUAAAAACAAGGAAGUUUUAUACACUAAAAACUAAGCAAGACAUUUUUGAAGAUGGGAACUGUAUCCUUGAAAGGUAAGUGUUGGCUUUGCUAACCACAUAAUAUCGUUUUGGUGAAUGAUUAUCAAGGGAAAAAAUGUCAAAGCCAGAAAUAGAGUCAAAGUAUCCCAGUCCCUGAUGUGGAAGGUCAUUCUAUGAUAAUCUAUGAAUGAUUUCUACUCUGAAUAUGUUAACAGAAGCUGGCAAUUCUGAGAAGCACAAGUGUUUCCUAGUGAAUCCACAAAUGAAAUUUGCAAUUUGGGUGAAGCAUUUGCAAAACUAUGUUAAGACCAGUGGCCCUCAGAGGAGUAAGGGGUUUUCUUUUGUUGGUUUUAGGAAAAUGCUUUUGGAUUUUAUUUCUUAUUCACACAUUACCAAAAGACACAUUACCUACUAAUAUUACUAUGAAAAAGCAAAAGACUUUUUUUUUUUUUUUUGAGACAGAGUCUCACUUUGUCAUCCAGGCUGGAGUACAAUGGUGUGAUCUUGGCUCACUGCAACCUCUGCCUCUUGGGUUCAAGCGAUUCUCGUGCCUCAGCCUCCCCAGUAGCUGAGACUACAGGCAUGCACCACCACACCCAGCUAAUUUUUGUAUUUUUUAGUAGAGACAGAAUUUUACCAUGUUGGCCAGGCUGGUCUUGAACUCCUGACCUCAGGUGAUCCACCCACUCAGGCCUCCCAAAGUGCUGGGAUUACAGGCGUGAGCCACCAUGCCUGGACAAAAAAGUGAAAGAUUUUCAUAUUGAACUGAAUAGCUACAGAAAUCCCACCACACUUGCAAGGCAUUUAACUAUUGUAAUUGAGAGAAGGGAAUGAUUCUCCACCGUCAACAAUUUCUAGGAUUCUUCAUUCAUCUCUUUUAAACAAAUAAUGUAAAUGAUUUACUAAUUUAUUGUUCUGCAUUUGCUAAAUUUAUAUCUUAUUAUUUCUCUUCACAUGAUUACUAUCUUUGAUGAUUAAUUUCUAGAAGGCAAUGACAUUAUUUAAUUCAUUAUAUACGAUGCCUAGUAAAGUGCCACACACAAUAAAUAUUCUUAAAUAAUUUCUGUGCCCUCAGUGUAUUGUCAUCUUUUCCUUCUCUGGACUAGAGUAUUAGUGUUUAUUUUGGGUUUUUUGUUUGUUUCUUUCUUUCUUUGUUGCCGUUACUUGAUUAUAAAUAGUCUUCUUUUGUUACAUGGAUAUAUUGUGGGAAAAAAAUAACAAAUCUUAUUUAGCUAAAUAUUAUCUCCUUUUUUAUCUAGAUUAUAAACUUCUCUAGAGGAGAUUCCUGGAGCUUUUACUACUUUCACAUCCCCAUAAUAUCUACCACAUCUUUUACACAUAGAAAUUACUACAGAAUUAUUCAAGAAAUAAAAGAUGGUUGUGUCACUAUUAUUGAUAAAUAUUUAUACCUCAAGAAAUUCCUGGCUGACCAAUAACAGUACAGGUCACAGGAAGAUAUAUAUAUAGGCCUGUGUGAAUAUGCCUAAAACAAAGAGUGUAAAUUAUAAGAGGUGUCCACAAAGAGAAUACUUGGUAUGGGCCUCAACUUUCAGAAAUGC
ensembl:lncRNA